UACGUAGGGAGCAAGCGUUGUCCGGAAUCAUUGGGCGUAAAGCGCGCGUAGGUGGCUCCGUAAGUCCGUUGUGAAAGUCAAAGGCUCAACCUUUGAAAGCCGAUGGAUACUGCGGAGCUAGAGUACGGAAGAGGCGAGUGGAAUUCCUGGUGUAGCGGUGGAAUGCGCAGAUAUCAGGAGGAACACCAAUAGCGAAGGCAGCUCGCUGGGACGUUACUGACACUGAGGCGCGAAAGCGUGGGGAGCGAACAGG
rnacentral:rRNA from 1 species